rnacentral:rRNA from 1 species
AGCGAACGCUGGCGGCAGGCUUAACACAUGCAAGUCGAACGGGCACUUCGGUGUCAGUGGCAGACGGGUGAGUAACGCGUGGGAACAUACCUCUUGGUUCGGAACAACACAGGGAAACUUGUGCUAAUACCGGAUAAGCCCUUACGGGGAAAGAUUUAUCGCCGAGAGAUUGGCCCGCGUCUGAUUAGCUAGUUGGUGUGGUAAAAGCGCACCAAGGCGACGAUCAGUAGCUGGCUGAGAGGAUGAUCAGCCACAUUGGGACUGAGACACGGCCCAAACUCCUACGGGAGGCAGCAGUGGGGAAUAUUGGACAAUGGGCGCAAGCCUGAUCCAGCCAUGCCGCGUGAGUGAUGAAGGCCCUAGGGUUGUAAAGCUCUUUUGUACGGGAAGAUAAUGACGGUACCGUAAGAAUAAGCCCCGGCUAACUUCGUGCCAGCCGCCGCAGU